GUAUUCAUUUUGGGUUUGUCUUCCUGUUGCCUCGAACACUCUUAAUUGACGAAUCAAAAUUAGUUGCUCGAACUUGGGUGAACCCUAUUAUCCUUUUCUUCGCCUUGGAUGUUACUGAUUACCGUUAUCCAACCACUGAAUUGUGUAAUUCGUGCAUGUCUACAUUGUAUACGGCCAUGACGGACACGUGUGAUGAUAUCCUCUUGUUUCCACGGUUGGUUUGCAAAAUUGCACGCGUUUUGUUUGUCUCUGUGAUAAGAUCGUGAAAUAACAACAACUAUCUUCAUAAUUUUGAGCGGAACCUAUUACAUUUAUAAGUGAACGAAAUCGAAUCUUGGGAAAACGAGAAUCCUUGGGCAAACUUCCUCGUGAAGAUAUCAUAAUACAGAAAUCUAUACAUACCUCUACUCCAUUUUCAAGCGGGAUCAUUACAAGGCUAUCAGAUAAGUAAAUUAUUGACAGCAAUUAAUGUACACGUUACCAAGAAGCAUGAAUGAAUAACUGAGGCUAAUUACCUACCAACCUACUACAAAAUUGAUUAAUUUUAUUCCAAUCGACGUUGUAGUUUCUAUAUCAAUAAAUCAAUUCCGUUCACU